rnacentral:rRNA from 1 species
GGUCGCAAGACUGAAACUCAAAGGAAUUGACGGGGGCCCGCACAAGCGGUGGAGCAUGUGGUUUAAUUCGAAGCAACGCGAAGAACCUUACCAGGUCUUGACAUCCCGCUGACCGUCCUAGAGAUAGGAUUUUCCCUUCGGGGACAGCGGUGACAGGUGGUGCAUGGUUGUCGUCAGCUCGUGUCGUGAGAUGUUGGGUUAAGUCCCGCAACGAGCGCAACCCUUGAUCUUAGUUGCCAGCAUUCAGUUGGGCACUCUAAGGUGACUGCCGGUGAUAAACCGGAGGAAGGUGGGGAUGACGUCAAAUCAUCAUGCCCCUUAUGACCUGGGCUACACACGUGCUACAAUGGACGGUACAGAGGGUCGCAACCCCGCGAGGGUGAGCUAAUCCCAUAAAACCGUUCUCAGUUCGGAUUGUAGGCUGCAACUCGCCUACAUGAAGCCGGAAUCGCUAGUAAUCGUGGAUCAGCAUGCCACGGUGAAUACGUUCCCGGGCCUUGUACACACCGCCCGUCACACCA